CAGCAACCCAAAAUGAUAGUUUUUGAUUUUCAGAGAAGGAGGGAGGUCAGCAAAGCCACUGCCUUGGACUUCUGGAGGGCACACUUUGUCCUCCUCAGGAUGGUGGU
rnacentral:miRNA from 12 species